rnacentral:rRNA from 1 species
CCUACGGGAGGCAGCAGUGAGGAAUAUUGGUCAAUGGCCGAGAGGCUGAACCAGCCAAGUCGCGUGAGGGAAGACGGCCCUACGGGUUGUAAACCUCUUUUGUCGGGGAGCAAAGCGAGUCACGUGUGACUCAUUGAGAGUACCCGUAGAAAAAGCAUCGGCGAAUACCGUGCCAGCAGCCGCGGUAAUACGGAGGAUGCGAGCGUUAUCCGGAUUUAUUGGGUUUAAAGGGUGCGCAGGCGGAGUUUCAAGUCAGCGGUAAAAUUGCGGGGCUCAACCCCGUACUGCCGUUGAAACUGCAUGCCUUGAGUGCGCGAGAAGUAUGCGGAAUGCGUGGUGUAGCGGUGAAAUGCAUAGAUAUCACGCAGAACUCCGAUUGCGAAGGCAGCAUACCGGCGCGCAACUGACGCUCAUGCACGAAAGCGUGGGUAUCGAACAGGAUUAGAUACCCGGGUAGUC